rnacentral:tRNA from 1 species
GGGCCGGUAACUUAGCGGCUAAGUGGUCGACUUUUAAUCGACUGUUCGACGCGGGUUCGAGCCCCGCCCGGCCCU